UACGUAGGGGGCAAGCGUUAUCCGGAUUUACUGGGUGUAAAGGGAGCGUAGACGGCUAUAUAAGUCAGAUGUGAAAGCCCAGGGCUCAACCCUGGGACUGCAUUUGAAACUAUGUAGCUAGAGUGCAGGAGAGGUAAGUGGAAUUCCUAGUGUAGCGGUGAAAUGCGUAGAUAUUAGGAGGAACACCAGUGGCGAAGGCGGCUUACUGGACUGUAACUGACGUUGAGGCUCGAAAGCGUGGGGAGCAAACAGG
rnacentral:rRNA from 1 species